rnacentral:rRNA from 1 species
UGUGCGCGAGUCACUGGGAUCACUUCUAAACCCAGAGGCGCAGUGAAAGCGUGGGGCUCGCACGGCAUAAAGCCGCUGCGAGCCGCUAAGGGAGGACGGCCGUUCGUUCCUGAGCGGUGCGGACGGUCAGCACUCCCGGGGCGCCUCGGCUCCGGCCGCAGGCGCACCCGGAGCGCACACGUUGGGACCCGAAAGAUGGUGAACUAUGCCCGGCCAGGACGAAGUCAGGGGAAACCCUGAUGGAGGUCCGCAGCGAUUCUGACGUGCAAAUCGAUCGUCAGAGCUAGGUAUAGGGGCGAAAGACUAAUCGAACCAUCUAGUAGCU